CGUAGCUGCUCCGCUGUUGUGGGUCCCUCGGCAGUUGCCUGUGCCCACAAAUGAAACAUCAUUCCCUCCGUGAGACUCGUGGAACCUAAGUCCUAGGCAUAAAACAGCUUUGUCCACCAAGUGAGGCAUCAACCUAGGAUGAGCAAAGACCAGUUAUCUGCUUUGCCCCUGACCAAUGUCUCUCUGUGUAGCCCUGGAUGUCCUGGAACUCACUCUGUAGACCAGGCUGACCAUGAACUCAGCCUCUCAGGUCAACAUUGCUCCUCUUUAAGUGAGUAAAGCAAACGCUUCUUUUUUUUUUUUUUUUAUUUAGAGAAUACUUUAUUAGUUUUUGUAA
rnacentral:sRNA from 1 species